AGAGAUUGUGUGAGAGAUUGAGAGAAUUCUUCUUAAAGGUUUUGAGUUAGUUUCCUUUGAGUUUUAAUAAAGAGAGUUAUUCUUUAUUUUGUGUUCUUAAACAAUCUUUCAUAAACUAGAGAAGAAAUGUAUAUGAAACUUGAUCAACAGAUAUAUGAUGAUGCUAUAUUGUUGAAGAGAAAAACGGACGUAAUCACAUACCUGAGACAAGAGGUUUAUGCUUGUCAGAAGAACAAGCUGUUACAAGUGUUGGAAAAUUACAAAGACAAGGGGAUCCUCUGUAUUUCCCGCUAAUAUCAAAACCUUAAAACAGAGAUCCUCUGUUUCAAAGCUUCUCAGUUUUCUCAUAUCUGUGGAAGAUGAAGUACGUGCUUGUAACUGGAGGUGUUGUGAGUAAAUUAGGAAAAGGAAUCACUGCAAGCAGUGUUGGUGUUCUUCUUCAGUCCUGUGGUCUUCGUGUUACUUGUAUCAAAAUUGAUCCUUAUCUGAACUAUGAUGCUGGAACCAUAUCUCCUUACGAACAUGGAGAAGUGUUUGUCUUGGAUGAUGGUAG